AUUGAACGCUGGCGGCAUGCCUUACACAUGCAAGUCGAACGGCAGCACGGGAGCAAUCCUGGUGGCGAGUGGCGAACGGGUGAGUAAUAUAUCGGAACGUGCCCAGUCGUGGGGGAUAACGUAGCGAAAGCUACGCUAAUACCGCAUACGAUCUAUGGAUGAAAGCGGGGGAUCGCAAGACCUCGCGCGAUUGGAGCGGCCGAUAUCAGAUUAGGUAGUUGGUGAGGUAAAGGCUCACCAAGCCGACGAUCUGUAGCUGGUCUGAGAGGACGACCAGCCACACUGGGACUGAGACACGGCCCAGACUCCUACGGGAGGCAGCAGUGGGGGAAUAUUGGACAAUGGGCGAAAGCCUGAUCCAGCAAUGCCGCGUGAGUGAUGAAGGCCUUAGGGUUGUAAAGCUCUUUUACCCGGGAUGAUAAUGACAGUACCGGGAGAAUAAGCUCCGGCUAACUCCGUGCCAGCAGCCGCGGUAAAG
rnacentral:rRNA from 1 species